rnacentral:pre_miRNA from 1 species
CACAUACUCCCUCCAUCCGGAAAUACUUGUCAAAGGAAUGGAUGUACCUAGAUGUAUUUUAGUUUUAGAUACAUCAAUUUUUAUGCAUUUCUGUGACAAGUAUUUACAGACGGAGGAAGUACAAA